rnacentral:rRNA from 1 species
CGAAAGCCUGACGGAGCAAUACCGUGUGAGGGAGGAAGGCUCUUGGGUUGUAAACCUCUUUUCUCAGGGAAGAAGAUCUGACGGUACCUGAGGAAUAAGCAUCGGCUAACUCCGUGCCAGCAGCCGCGGUAAUACGGAGGAUGCAAGCGUUAUCCGGAAUUAUUGGGCGUAAAGCGUCCGCAGGUGGUUUUUCAAGUCCGCUGUUAAAGACUGGAGCUCAACUCCGGAAAGGCAGUGGAAACUGGAAGACUAGAGUUCGGUAGGGGUAGCGGGAAUUCCCAGUGUAGCGGUGAAAUGCGUAGAGAUUGGGAAGAACAUCGGUGGCGAAAGCGCGCUACUGGACCGAGACUGACACUCAGGGACGAAAGCUAGGGGAGCGAAAGGGAUUAGAUACCCCUGUAGUCCUAGCUGUAAACGAUG